UAGUGCACAUGAUGGAGAUGAGGAUGAUGGUGGUGGUGGUGAUGAUGAUCGUCCAAUCAUCAUCAUCAUCAUCAUCAUCCUCAUCCUCAUCUCCA
rnacentral:miRNA from 1 species